UCGGGAAUUUUGGGCAAUGGGCGAAAGCCUGACCCAGCAACGCCGCGUGAAGGAUGAAAUCCCUCGGGAUGUAAACUUCGCAAGAACGGGAAGAAUAAGUUGGUGUUAACACCACCAGCGAUGACGGUACUGUUUGUAAGCUCCGGCUAACUCCGUGCCAGCAGCCGCGGUAAUACGGGGGGAGCAAGCGUUGUUCGGAUUUACUGGGCGUAAAGGGCGCGUAGGCGGCCACCGCAAGUCGACUGUGAAAUCUCCGGGCUUAACCCGGAAAGGUCAGCCGAUACUGCGGGGCUAGAGUGCAGAAGGGGCAACUGGAAUUCUCGGUGUAGCGGUGAAAUGCGUAGAUAUCGAGAGGAACACCUGCGGCGAAGGCGGGUUGCUGGGCUGACACUGACGCUGAAGUGCGAAAGCUAGGGGAGCGAACGGGAUUAGAUACCCCGGUAGUCCUAGCCUUAAACGAUGAAUGCUUGGUGUCUGGGGUUUUAUAGUCCCCGGGUGCCGUCGCUAACGCUUUAAGCAUUCCGCCUGGGGAGUACGGUCGCAAGACUGA
rnacentral:rRNA from 1 species